ACGAACGCUGGCGGCAUGCCUCAUACAUGCAAGUUGAACGCCCGCAAGGGAGUGGCGUAAGGGUGAGUAACGCGUAGGAAUCUUCCUUGGACUGGGGGAUAACCUGGGGAAACUCGGGCUAAUACCGCAUAUUGCCGAGAGGUGAAAGAUUUAUCGGUCCAAGAUGAGCCUGCGUAUGAUUAGCUAGUUGGUAGGGUAAUGGCCUACCAAGGCACCGAUCAUUAGCUGGUCUGAGAGGAUGAUCAGCCACAAUGGAACUGAGACACGGUCCAUACUUCUACGGAAGGCAGCAGUAGGGAAUUUUGCGCAAUGGGCGAAAGCCUGACGCAGCAAUGCCGCGUGAGGGAAGAAGCUUUUUGGAGUGUAAACUUCUGUCGGUGGGGAAAAAGAAAGUGAUUGUACCCACAAAGGAAGCAUCGGCUAACUACGU
rnacentral:rRNA from 1 species